CAGGAAGGGCUCUCUUUUUUCCUCGGCUCCUGCUCCAGCAGCAUGAUGUGAUCCACCAGGCUUUGAAAAUCAUCAUAGAAUGAUGAAAAGGCAUGCAAUUGGAGGAUUGGUGUAGAAGAUCAGAGAACUGAACACCUGACAGUGCUGUGCAAGGUCCAGUUUCAAAUUUCAACAAUAUAUAAGAAACAAUAAAGAUAAAUGCCAUAGGAAGGAAUCUUAUUUGAUUGGCAGCUGUCCUUCACCACUUGAAUAAGCAGUGACCAAGUCUUGUUCUAUAUCCUUGAAGAAUCUACAGCAAGUUGCAAAAUUUAUUACCCUGUCACUGGAUCCCAGGGUCAUUGAAUGUGUUCUAGAAACAGCAACAAACAACACAAAUCAGCCUUGCCUCUAAAUGUAAACAUCUCUCUCGAAAAAGAUGAAUGCAUAGAAAGAAGGAGGCAGCACAGAACUAACUGAUCAGACAUGGGUGGCGUGAGGCAGAACUGAGGACAUGAGCAGUUCGAGUUCCAUGCUGACUGCUGCUGACUGCUGACCAAGGUUCCUUUGGAAAUGGCGAAGAAGAAAGCAGAAGAUGAAGUGGGAACUAGGACCUGCAGGAGGAAAUAUUUAUGUUGUUGCAUGGACACUAAGUACAUGAUGAAUCUUCAUGUGUUUGAAUGUAAGACUUCCAGCUCCUUCUCCCGCACCAAGUCUGUAUGCAGGUCACCAUGGCCUCUAUGAUGAUAAUGGACUAAAACUCUGAAACUGAGGAGAAAACACCGUGUUCAAAGCCAGAAGUUGUGACAUUCUCUGCUAAAUAGGGGCCUCAGCUCUCCUUGAAGAGUUCUAAGCUUGUUGAUGCUUAUUUCAUUUUGUACUGAAGAUACUCACCUGUCUCUCCUACUUAUGAGAAAUUAACAAGGACUUGAACAGAAUCCCUAUUUGAAUAAUCUUUCUUGUGCAAGAAGUAAUGAAGAAGUAGAAUUGACAGUAUUUUCCAGAUAGGCAAUGAAGCCAUCCAGAAGACAGAGCAAGUUGUACCUUAUGCUCCAGUCCUGGUUGCUGUUAGGUAAACUACUCAAUCUACCAUGCAUACAAGCUGCAUACAUCUCACUGCCACCUGGGGACAUCAUUCAGACACUGCACAUGCUCAGGAAAACCUGCCAAAUCCACUCUUAAAGUUCCAGUCAUAGUAUCAAUAUAACAGACAUUGUUCCAAAGGUCUUUAAGUUCCAGGCUAGUCUCCUCCCCUAAGGACCUACAGAGCAGAUAGCUGGUGCUUCUCUGUAUUCUGUGCUGGCUGCAGAGGUUAAGACUUCUUUGGGAUUCCCUGGGCAGUGGUGGCACAUGCCUUUAAUCCCAGCACUCAGGAGGCAGAGUCCUUCUGCUUUCUCAUUAUCUGAAUCCAGUUAAAAGAAAUCUGAUCUCCCAGGAUCCACACUAUAACUUCGAACACUAAGGAUGCUGUGUAUUAACAAUGAAAAGAACUAAAGACCACAGUCUAUAUGCAUCGAAUCUGAGAGUCUACAUUUUGUCUAUGGUCCAUCUGCAUCAGUACCAUCUAGAUGUUCAGGAAAUUUAUAACAUCUUAAAAUUGAGUUGAUAUGACGUUAUCUCUUUGGAUCAAUGAACCAAUUUUAAUGAACAAUGAUAGCCCUUAACUUGUGUGGUCAAUAUAUGAUGGUCAAAUUGCAUUUUGAAAACAUUAAAUGUGUGCUCAAAAAAAAAAUUAAAUUAAGGGCUGGUGAGAUGGCCUAGCAUGUAAAAACACUUGCUACCCAACCUGGGGACUUGAGUUCGAGCCCCAGAAUUAAUAUAAAGGCACAAAAUUAAAAUUGACUCCACAAAGUUGACUCUUAAUUUUCAUACACAUACAUGAACACAUGCCCCCCCACACACCACAUACAAAUGCACAUACAUACACAUGAAAUUAAAAAAUCCAAUUGCACCUUUCUUUUAGUUAUAGAAACACAAUAAAAUUAUAUUAGUCAUAUUUUCAAAUGAAGAAUAUGUGAUGCUUUAGAAUAAUUUGGCAAAAAAUAAACCUCAUCCAUUGGAAAUCGCUGAAUCAUUUUUAGAGGCAUAAAUGAUGUAAGUAUAGGUAUAAAACAGAAGAAAAGGUAAAAUAUAUUUGAAAUUGGUAAAAGUAAAUACUUCUAAAGUGGAACAUCAAGAAAUCAUUAACUGAAAAUGAACAAAUGUUCAUUAUCAAAGUAAAAAGUAAUUUUUGCAAAAUAAAGGAAGAAAGAAGACAGAAAAGAAGGAAGGAAGGAAGGAAGGAAGGAAGGAAGGAAGGAAGGAAGGAAGGAAGGAAGAACAAACAAAGAGACUGACGUGUUAUCUUAAACAUUGUUGUAUGUAUUUCUUGAACACAUACAGCAUCUUUCGAGAAAUCUACCACUGUACAUUGCUCAUUAUACCUGGGUUAUUUGGGGAUUUUCUAUAUGUCUGAAUUCCUUAUGUAUCUUGGAUGGCAACUUCUUGUCAGAUGUGCAGUUGGCAAACAUUUUCCUUCCUGGACAGUGUUUAUUUGCACAACUGAUCAGCUAUUUUGCUAUGAGGAGGUUUAUUUCAUUAAAUAUAAUUAUAUUACCAAUUUUUAAUGUACUUAAACAUCCUUGCCCACUCCAACAUUCUGAAACAUUCCUCUGUAUUACUUACUUUUCUGUUGCUAUGGUGAAAUGCCAUGACCCAAAAUAACUUAGGAGAGGAAAGGGUUUAUUUGUCUUACAUGACCAGAUUCAUCACUGAAGAAACUGUCGCUAUCAUUGCAAGGACAGAAGCAGUAACUGAAGAAGAGAACACUGAAGAACUCUGCUUACUGGCUAUCUGUCCCCAGGCUCAUGUUCAGAUUCUUCUUAUAUAGGUCAGGCUUGCACUUACACUAUCAAAGAAUUUGUAAACUGGAGUUCACAGAUGAGAAAAUGUCAACUAUGUGUUGAACACUCAAGGCUGACUAUUGAAAAAUGGAGUGUUACAUGUUAGAUGUAAGAUUUAUUGGGCUACCUCAGCUCCUCUUUUAUCCCCUAGGCAGAGUUUCUCUAUGUAGCCCUGACUGUCCUGGAAACUCACUCUGUAGACCAGGUUGGCCUCAGAUUCACAGAGAUCCACCUGCCUCUGCCUACCAAGGGCUGGGAUUAAAGGCAUGUGCCACCACUACCUAAGGAGCCAUUUGUUGGCUGCCUCUGAGUGUGAUUUGACAUCUGUGUGGUUAUCAGGCAAAAUCAUUUGGGAAUAUACAGACUGAAGCCAAGUUUCUACCAACACAAAGGCUAAGCAUGUCAUCAGACAGCACCUAAUGCCACAGCAGAGUUUUCCUGCCUUAUAUUAGCAUGUCUGCCUCCUGUUCCCACAAAUGCAUUCAAAAAGUGGUUUGGUUUAUGAAUGUCUGUUCUCUUAUAAAAAUACAAACUUGAUCUUGUAACAAUAAUCAUAUUCUGACAAGAUAUUUGAGUUAUCCUGAAUCCAAGUUCCCAUGCCACACGCAUUCAUAUUUGGCUCCAGAAUAAAUUCUCUUAUGCUGUUUCAGAUUGGAGUGUUUGUUUUGUUGUUACUGGUCACAUACUCAUGUCCCUCUAUCAUAUACUUGGACCUUUGCUAUUUGCUAAAUAUCUUAGAGGCAACCACAGUGAUAGGCAGUGACCCAGACUCUCUUCUGUACUUUAUGUUUGUUUUCUUGUAUAUUUUAAUAAUCAGCACUACUAGUGUGUUUGCUCAGUUUAUCAAUUGUGACAGUAACUGCUUGCUACCUUAUUAAGAGGAAAUGUGUUUAAUACUGGCACCUUUGUGGUCUAGAAGGUGUCAUCUGAGUCAUUCUAAAUGCUCUUUGACCUUGCUUCUCUGUCAUUCUUGACUCUAUUUGUUGUCUUCAAGUUAUUUUAAAAGAAAAUGGCAACAUUACUGCAUUUAGGGUGUAUGCUUAGGCCCUGUAAGCCCCCAAACAUGCCAGAUUCACCACCUGUCCUGAGUAGUGCAAUUAACAGACAAAAUUCAUGACUAAAAGGUGAAAAGGAGAUACUUUCAAUGUGAACAUAUUGAAAAGAGCAGCAAAGUACAGUGACCCCAAGUACACCCUCUUUCUUCUAAUAGGAAGCUUAUGCUUCCUAUUAGAGGGCAAGAGAUGCAUAGCUAGACAAGCAGUUCCAAUCAAGGUAUAUUCCCACCCAUCACCAGUUUCAGGAAACAAACUCAAAAGUUUUUAAAGCAUGAUGCUCCUGAGGAUAUCCCUUUUUUUAUGCAUCAUUUCAAUAAUAUUAUAGCCAAAGGAAGAUGCAUAAGCAUCUCUUUAGAAAAUAUUCAUUCCUGUCACAUUGCUUAUAAUAAAAUGAAAUUUUAUAUACAAGUUGUACUAUAAUUCCCUUAAUAAAUGAAGGGAAAUAAGUGUGAGUAGGAAUUCAGGCUUUCACUUACACUAUCAAAAUGCUUUCACUGUAAAUGAAAGUAGCAGUAAAGGAAGGGCUUGGGUAAAUCUCAGACCACAAUGCAGACCUGAGAAUGUCCAAAAAGGAAGAACUGGCAUUCUUCUGGCAAAGUGAAAUUUCCUAUGGAGAAAACUCAUAAAUAAAAAUGAUGCUCAAGUUAC